AUGUGUUGGGCGAUUCAUGACAGGUUAUGGCUAAUAAGCCAUCUCACUUUCAAAUUAAUAUGCAAAUUCUCCUGGAGCUGAGGAGUGAGAGACAGAGCUGAGGACAGCAGGGAAGAGGGCUGUGCAUGGAAGGCACACAAAGGGAACAGGCAUCCAAUCCCCAUGCCCUUUCCCCUGGAGUCUGAUUGGAAUGCUCCUAUGAGAUGCUGGAGGAGAUGGAGACUGGGGAAAGGCCUCUCUGAUGAGGCCACGAGCAGGCGAAUGUCUCCCUCUGCAGGGAUACUGCAGGAUCUCCCAGUGCUGGAAAAGAAGUCACCCCCACCUUGGUUCCACAGAGUACUGAGAGCAAGGCUAUGGCUGCAAAGCAGAGAGCUAGCAAGACUCGGGUGCCCGCAGGAAGGCAAGACGGCUAUCUUCAUGAGCUGAAGUCAAGGCUGUCAUGAUAACUGUGCCUCUUCUAGGAGGAGGAGGCUCGGCAGAGGAUGGGAGAGAGCAAAGGCGGGCAGGAGGACCGGACGGGCACUCACCUAUGCAGUCCAGCUUAGUAGCACAGAGUGCGUGACCUCUUCCAGUCACAGUCACAGUUACUAAAAUAACUUGGGGUCUGGCUGCUGGACAGAUGGUGCAGUCAGUAAAAUGCCUGCCAUGGAAGCAUAGGGGCUUGGAUUUGGAUCUUCAGCAGCCACGUAAAAGCAAGUAAUCAAGGGCCAAGAAAGAGAAGAGAAAGAGAUUCCUGGUACGCUCUAGUCAGCCAUUCUAGCUGAUUGGUGAGCUACAGAUCCAGUGGGAAACCCCACCUCAAAAAAGAAGGUGAAGGGAACUGAGAAGGAUAGCAGAUGCCCUGUGUUCAUUUCUGCUGCUGCAGGAGUAGCUUGUCUUUGCUGCAGAGCACAUCAUCACCUGUUGCCAGGUGCCUUUCCAUCACCAGUCAUGCGACAUGUGUACCCUUUGAAAGUGCCUGCCAGGGACAGCUCUCUCUCUCUCUCUCUCUCUCUCUCUCUCUCUCUCUCUCCUCUCUCUCUCUCUCUCCUUCUGCUCUUGCCCAGUGACCACCUCUGCACCUCCCCCAAUAAACCUCCCUCAUGAGCUCUGUUGCA
rnacentral:lncRNA from 1 species